CCUGUGGUGUAACAUAAGAGAAAGAACUAUAGCGCAAAUGCAUCAGUACGUCUGAAUGUACUGGGUAUAUGAGUGAGGUAGGCUAAACUCAAAGGGUUAUAUGCAUGAAAAAUACUGACUGAUAUGAACGUGAGAGUACAUACAUGCAUACAUGACUGUAACUGAACUCGUGGAGAUACUGACGGCAGAGUCUGAAUACUGACAACAUGAGUGUACUGAUAAUGAGAUUCUGAAAAAUUGAGUUUACUGAUACAGGAUUACUGAAUACUGGGAGAUUGAUACUAUAUUACUGAUAAGGAAAUAAUUGUUUCUGACAGUUUAAAUUAUGAAAAACUGGUCUGAUUGACUGUACCUGACAGUUCUGAAGCUGAGUACUGAUAUCAUGAGUUCUGAUAACUUUUAUGAUUGAUAGCAUAAGUGACUGUAUCUGACAGUCCAUAAAUCUGAAGGAAACUAUCUGAGUUUAAUUUUAUUUUUGAGUUGACUGUAUCUGACAGUCCUGAUAUACUGAAAUCUAAAGAACUAUCUGAGUUCUUUACUGAGACUCGGUAGCUAUAGCUGACAGUCCUGAAAUCUGUAACUGAAACGGUGGGAAGUAGUUAUCUAACCGAUAUGCCCCAAAUAUGCUAUAAUAGCUAAGCUGGGGUCCAAUCUAUGCCCCGACUGGAGGGGUGUCAAUACCGCGCCACUGGUAAGGACAGCUGUGAGAACCCUAUACUGGCAGGUACUCAAAUAAGAACGGUGUGAACCCUAAACUACGGGUUAAGCCACCUCAUCAACCCUAGUCUAACGGGUUAAGAUGUCUCAACCUACGCUGGAUACGUAGUUCUGGAACACAAGGAUGACUGUUAAUAAUCACACCCUAAGCUGGCAGGUGAGUUCCCAUCCUUAUGUUUACUCGAUGCUAACUUCUACUCCCAUCUGAAGGACACUGAACUAAAUAACUAAGCUGAACUGAAUAACUGAACUGAACUGAUUAGCUGAACUGAUACUGAUUAACUAGACUGAUACUAGUGGUACUGUUUAGCGGAGCUAAAACUAAGUUUACUGGAUUCCGAUAACUGACAGAAUGUACUGAGAUCUGAGGACUGGUUGAGAGUACUAAAGUUAAUAAGAUUGACUGUGAAUACUGAGGUUGCUGAGGUUACUGAGCACUGAGAUUUCUGAACUACUGAGAUUACUGAGAUUUUUGAGUUUUCCUGAGUCACAUGACUGACUGAAUUCUAUAGAUUAUGGCUUGACUGAGAGUAUCGUGAAAACAUGACAUAGCUCUAGGCACACAACUAUAUUUUUUGGGUACAAGUACCCCCAGGACUCGAUGGAAGGAAACUGACACAACUUGAAUUUCUUGAGUACACGACCAUCAAUAACAAUCCAUAAUACAUGAGUGGGGGAUUUCAUGAAGUACAUGGUCAUCAUAAUAUCUAUCAUGAAUAGGAAUGCUUAUAAUCAAGUCAUAAAUCUCAUAUUCUAAUAUCAUGGGCAUUCCGACAACAUAUACUAUUCAUAGCANNNNNNNNNNNNNNNNNNNNNNNNNNNNNNNNNNNNNNNNNNNNNNNNNNNNNNNNNNNNNNNNNNNNNNNNNNNNNNNNNNNNNNNNNNNNNNNNNNNNNNNNNNNNNNNNNNNNNNNNNNNNNNNNNNNNNNNNNNNNNNNNNNNNNNNNNNNNNNNNNNNNNNNNNNNNNNNNNNNNNNNNNNNNNNNNNNNNNNNNNNNNNNNNNNNNNNNNNNNNNNNNNNNNNNNNNNNNNNNNNNNNNNNNNNNNNNNNNNNNNNNNNNNNNNNNNNNNNNNNNNNNNNNNNNNNNNNNNNNNNNNNNNNNNNNNNNNNNNNNNNNNNNNNNNNNNNNNNNNNNNNNNNNNNNNNNNNNNNNNNNNNNNNNNNNNNNNNNNNNNNNNNNNNNNNNNNNNNNNNNNNNNNNNNNNNNNNNNNNNNNNNNNNNNNNNNNNNNNNNNNNNNNNNNNNNNNNNNNNNNNNNNNNNNNNNNNNNNNNNNNNNNNNNNNNNNNNNNNNNNNNNNNNNNNNNNNNNNNNNNNNNNNNNNNNNNNNNNNNNNNNNNNNNNNNNNNNNNNNNNNNNNNNNNNNNNNNNNNNNNNNNNNNNNNNNNNNNNNNNNNNNNNNNNNNNNNNNNNNNNNNNNNNNNNNNNNNNNNNNNNNNNNNNNNNNNNNNNNNNNNNNNNNNNNNNNNNGCCUAACCAAUCGCCUAAGUUUGGUUGGGCGGCGCCUAACCAAUCGCCUAUCCUUACUGUCUCUCACGAAAAUGGGCAUAACUUUUUGCUCGGGUAUUGGAUUAAGGCGAAAUUGGUAUCGUUGGAAAUCUAAUUCAAUUAUCUACAAUUUUGUGGGUAUAAAUAUACAUAAAUACCACAUUAACAUCGAUUUAUACUCAUUCAAAUAUGACCCUUAUGAAAUCGAAUACUAAAACUGGAUGGAUUCAAAAACUCUUAGCUUGUUUUACCUUAAGUGACUCAUAUGAACAUGAUUAACACAUCACAAGCUAUAUUAUAUCUAGGAUACGCAUUGUAAGUCAUGAACUAAAAUGCUACUCAUAGGAUAGAAGGUUUCAUACGUAGGAAAAAUGGUUCGUCUCCUAGCGUAGAAACAUACGGGGUAUUACAAUAUCUCCCCCUUGGGAACAUUCGUCCUCGAAUGGAAAUUAAAUGAGGUGGGAGAGAGGAUAAGAUGAAGUAAGUACAAGACAUACACUACUAAAACAUGAGUUCAUGACUGAAAUGACUAAAAGCUUAGCAUAACAUACUGAAUAUGCAUAUCUGAUGCAUGGGAAGCUGAUUCAUGAAUAUAAGACUGAGGAUUCUAAUAAAGUGAGUUUUAUCAAAAUGAGAAUGCAUAUCUGAUGCACAACUAAAAGGCUGAAUCCAUGCAUAUCUGAUGCAUGAUUAUAUGACUGACAUGAUACGUGAAUGCAUGACUGAAAGUACUAAUGAGUUGAUCACGCAUAUCUGAUGCAUGAAUUCAUGACUAAACUUACUCAUGAACAUGAUAUAGUAAAGGUAUCAAGUUUGAACUAAAAACUGAGCAUAGAAAUGAAUACCAAGUUUGGUAUUGAAAUAUGAACAUGAGAACAAGUAAGUUUAAGGAAAAAUAUUACCUUGAACUAAUAAUACCGAUAAGUUUGAGAUUAAUUACUCCAUAUGAAUGAUCGGAAAUAUGAGAACAUAACUAAGUCUGGGAUGUGGUAGAUAUACUAAAUAUCAUGAUCUGAAUGGAAUCUUGAGAACAUGGCAUACGACUGAAGUUGGAGUUUGAGGGUUAACUUAGGAGGACCCCUUCUCCAAACUGGAUUCAUCAAAAAAAAAUAGAGCAGCAUGUUUAUGUCAUGAAAUUUUAGGGGUAUGAUAUAUCUCCCCCUUGGGACACUAUGUCCCUCAAAGAAUACUGACUUGGAUGAGCUAUUGAGGGAAAUUAAGGUGAUGCGCCAGAAACCUAGGAACUAAGUCAAGACUGAAUAGCUAGGAUCUGAAACUGAGACAUGAUACAUGAACUGAGCUGAACACGAGUGCAUAAAUACACUAACUUAUCUGAUUAACUGAAUAACUGAUAGCUGAAUACUGGUUCUGCAAAGCUAAACUGUACUUAGUCUGAAUAGUUGGGCUGAGAUUUUUGAGUUUUAUGCAUAGGAGAUAAGGACUAACUGAGUAGAAUGAGGUAUCUAAGCAUGGAUUCAUGGAGUCUGUAUUAUUUUGAAUGCGAGACCAAGCGUACGAUAUGGCUUUGAGGUAUUCUAUAAACUGGGGUACUGAAACACUGAUAACUGAGUACUGACAACCUGAAUGCUAUGGUCAAGCAUGUCUGGAACUGAACUGAGUUUCAAAUCUGGUUACUGAACUGAAGAUGACAUUAUAACUAAGCCUAUNNNNNNNNNNNNNNNNNNNNNNNNNNNNNNNNNNNNNNNNNNNNNNNNNNNNNNNNNNNNNNNNNNNNNNNNNNNNNNNNNNNNNNNNNNNNNNNNNNNNNGGGCAAGAACUCAAAACUAUUUGUUGCCAGAGGUUGAAGUUGCACAAGAUUGAAGGGAGAAAUUUGAAAAGUUGUUGGUUGGGAGAAGUUAGAGAGAGAAACUAUCGAGAGAAAGAGAGAAGAGAGAGAGAUUGAUUUGCAGAGGGAGAGAAGUUUUGUUGGUGUGGGUUAAUUUAUAUUUUUUUAAAAGAUAAAAAAUUUAGAAAAUAUUAAUCAAGUCCACAAUUAACCUAAUCAAGUUUUUCAAUUAUGUUUUACCCUUUAAAUUGGUCAAUGUCACCAAUCCUUCAUUCAAGACUUAAAAGACACCUUUCCUUUAAUUUUCUCAUGUAACUUAGAGUUUAAUUCAGAACAAGGAGUUUAUACAACUUGUUCUAAAAUGUUGGAGAAACCAAGUAAGUGGUACUAGUAUGUUUAAACUUUGGAGCAAACUGUUGUUAUGUAAAAAACCACUCAAGUAACUGAAACAAAUAAAGAUGGAAAAUGUAGAAAAAAGUAGAGGAAGCAAGAAAUAGAUUGUUAGAUGUUCAAACUCUACUUAAUAUGCAACAUACCCCUGAUUUGUUGGAGAGGUAAAAAGAGGCACAAAAUGACAUGACUAAAUGGCUUAACUUACAGGAGAAAAUUUUCAGGCAAAAAUUCAAAGCUCAUUGGAUUAUUACAGGAGAUGGGAUAAAUUUUCAGGCAAAAAUCCAAAGCUCAUUGGAUUAUUAUUGGAGAUGGGAAUAACAAAUAUUUUCAAUUACUUGAAGGAUAGAGCUAGUAGUAAUGCUAUUUCAGUGCUGAAAGGUGAUAGAGGAGUUAUUUUACACAAAUACCAGGAUAUUAAAGUUGAACUGUUGAAAUUUUUAAAAGACUUAUGGGUGAUCCAGCUAAGAGUAUUCCUAGUAUUAAUUUGAGUAUUAUGAGAUAAGGCAAUAGGGUUACUCAACAACAAUAGAGGGUCUCACUAUCAGAAAUUCGCUAUUUUCCGACUGAAAAUUUCCGACUGAAAUAAGUAGUCGGAAAUCUUAUUUUUUAAUUUUUAUUUUUUACAAAAUAUUUUUUCAAUACUUAUUGUGACAAAAAUAGUCAAAAUAUUUGACGACAAAUUCCGAGAAAUAUAUAUUCUUACUACAGUAGUCGAAAAUAUAAAUAAUUAAAUAAAUUAUUUAUUUAAAUAAAUUAUUAAAUAUAUGUUUCUGACUACUGUAGUUGGAAAUACUAAUAAAUAAAUAAAUAAAAUUAAUAAUUAAUUUAAUAUAUAUCCGACCACUGUAGUCAGAAAUAUAAAUAAUUAAAUAAAUAUAAUACUAAAUAUAUAAUCAGUCCCUUAUACGAAAAUGAAAUUAUUAUUUAAAUAAAUGAUUAAAUAUAUAUUUCCAAUUACUGUGGUCGGAAAUACUAACAACUAAAUAAAAUUAAUAAUUAAUUAAGUAUAUAUCCGACCACUGUAGUCGAAAACAUAAAUAAUUAAAUAAAUAUAUUACUAAAUAUAUAAUCAGUCCCUUAUAUGGAAAUUAAAUAAUUAUUUAAAUAAAUUAUUAAAUAUAUAUUUCCAACUACUUAGUCGAAAAUACUAAUAACUAAAUAAAAUUAAUAAUUAAUUAAAUAUAUAUUCGACCACUGUAGUCGAAAAUUUAAAUAAAUAUAUUACUAAAUGUAUAAUCAGUCCCUAAUACGGAAUUUAAAAAAUAAGUAAAAUAAAUUAUUAAAUAUAUAUUUCUGACUAUUGUAGUCGAAAAUACUAAUAACUAAAUAAAUAUAUGACUUAAUGUAUAAUCAUAUCCUUAUAUAGAAAAUUAAUAAUUAAUUAAAUAUAUUAUUAAUUAGAUUUCUGACUACUUUAGUCAAAACUGUAACGCCCCAAUUUUCUAAACCAAAAUGCUACACGGUGCUCAUGACCCCGAAGGACCACAAGCUAACCCAUGACUGAUAUCUGUACCUGUAAAUUGUAUAAUAUCUCAUAAAAUAUGCAGAAACAUGAACUGUAAGGCCAUAAGAUUAAAUACUAAUAUUAUAUAUUUGAAAAAUAUGGUAUAACAAUACCAAAAAGAAACAUAAAUACUGAAGUCUGAACAUCUAAUCUAACAUCUAGUAUGAAAACCUCUAAAUGAACUGAAUAAGGAGUUGAUGGGACAUGUCCUUAACUAACUCCAACUACUGAAAUAAAGUGAAAACUAAAAUAGAAAUGAAAUCAUCAUGUCCUCGAAGGAUGAGGACUCACGUCUAACUCUGACUGCUGAUCCUGAAAUCUACUGCUGAUUUAAAGCUCAUGCCUCUGAACCUAUGGUGUAACAUAAGAGAAAGCACCAUAGCGCAAAUGCGUCAAUAUAUCUGAAUGUACUGAGUAUACGAGUGAGGUAGGCUAAACUCAAAGGGUUAUAUGCAUGAAAAAUAUUGACUGAUAUGAACGUGAGAGUACAUACAUGCAUACGUAACUGUAACUAAACUCGUGGAGAUACUGACUACAGAGUCUGAAUACUGACAACAUAGUGUACUGAUAAUAAAAUUCUAAAAGACUGAGUUUACUGAUAUUAAUAUGUAAAUCGCUAAUAAGUGAUGGAUCUGAUACAGGAUUACUAAAUAUUGGGAGAUUGAUACUAUAUUACUAAUAAAGGAAUGAUUAUUUCUGACAGUUCGAGUUAUGAAGAACAGGUCUGAUUGACUGUAUCUGACACUACUGAAGCUGAGUAUUGAUAGCAUGAGUUCUGAUAACUUUUGUGAUUGAUAGCAUAAGUGACUGUAUCUAACAGUCCAUGAAUCUGAAGGAAACUAUCUGAGUUUAAUUUUAUUUUUGAGUUGACUGUAUCUGACAAUCCUGAUAUACUGAAAUUUGAAGAACUAUCUGAGUUCUUUACUGAGACUAGGUAGCUAUAGCUGACAGUCCUAAAAUCUGUAACUGAAACUUUGGGAAGUAGUUAUAUAACCGACAUGCCCUAAAUAUGCUAUAAUAGCUAAGCUGGGGUCCAAUCUCUGCCCUGACUGGAGGGGUAUCAAUACCGCGCCACUGGUAAGGACAGGUGUGAGAACCCUAUACUGGCAGGUACUCAAAUGAGAAUGGUCAGAACCCUAAAAUAACGGGUUAAGUCACCUCAUCAACCCUAGUCUGACGGGUUAAGAUUUCUCAACCUACGCUGGCUACGUAGUUCUGGAACACAAGGAUGACUGCUAAGAAUCACACCCUGAACUGGCAGGUGAGUUCCCAUCCUUGGGUUCACUCGGUGCUAACUUCUAAUCCCAUCUGAAGGACACUAAACUGAAUAACUAAGUUGAACUGAAUAACUGAACUGAACUGAUUAGUUGAACUGAUACUGAUUAACUAGACUGAUACUAGUAGUAUUGUUUAGCGGAGCUAAACUAAGUUUACUGGAUUCCAAUGACUGACAGAAUGUACUGAGUUCUGAGGACUGGUUGAGAGUACUAAAGUUACUAAGAUUGACUGUAAAUACUGAGGUUGCUGAGGUUACUGAGCACUAAGAUUACUGAGAUUACUAGACUACUGUGAUUACUGAGAUUUCUGAGUUUUCCUGAGUCACAUGACUGACUGAAUUCUAUAGAUCAUGGCUUGACUGAGAGUAUCAUGAAAACAUGACAUGGCUCNNNNNNNNNNNNNNNNNNNNNNNNNNNNNNNNNNNNNNNNNNNNNNNNNNNNNNNNNNNNNNNNNNNNNNNNNNNNNNNNNNNNNNNNNNNNNNNNNNNNNNNNNNNNNNNNNNNNNNNNNNNNNNNNNNNNNNNNNNNNNNNNNNNNNNNNNNNNNNNNNNNNNNNNNNNNNNNNNNNNNNNNNNNNNNNNNNNNNNNNNNNNNNNNNNNNNNNNNNNNNNNACUUCAUGUAUUUAUUCAACAUCUCAAACAUGGUAGGGGAAGAAUGAAUAUAUUUUGUGUACAUAAUUUAUAUCUCCAUUAUCAUACAUGCUUCAUGCCACUACCAUAAGAAUACAUAAUUAGCAUGGAAAUUCAUAUUGAAGUGUAUAGCUAACAUGGACUUGUCAUGUGAAUAUCAUGGAAUCAUGUAAAUAGGAAUUUCUAGCAUCCUAGGCAUUUUAUCAAACACCUUGCAUGCAUUCUUUAAGGCAUAGGUGGAUUUUAUACUUGCAUUAUAUUAAACCACCCAAAGUUCAUGAUUUUCAACCACAACCACAUAUAUUUCAUGAAAACAUCCUUAGAUAUCAUCUUGAAACUUAAACAUCCAUCAUCAAUAUGUACAUAUUCAUAUCACCACAAAAAGUUUACAAAACAACAUUUAAAAGCAUGAUUCUUGAGCUCUAUGAAAGAAUUGAAUCCAUAGAUGAACACUACGCAUACCUUGGAAAAGAGGUUCUUGAUGAUUGACGGAAGAAUUUCCUUAAAAUUUGAUCUUCAAGCUUGAUUGUGCAACCCUAGUUGUUUUUCUCCUAUGGUGCUCUUGGAUGAUGAGCUUUGAGAUGUUAAUAGGGUUGUGAUGUGUUUAGAAGCUAUAUAUUUUGUAGGGUUAAGUUUAGGGACGUGUAAGGAGUGUUAAAAGACUUAAUUACCCUCAAAAUAACUCAAAACAAAGUGUUUUUGGCAUUGGAACUGACUUAGGCGGGGUCUAACCAAUCGUCUAAGUUUGGUUGGGCGGCGCCUAACUAAUCGUCUAUCCUUCUCUCAUGAAAAUGGGCAUAACUUUUUGCUCGGGUAUUGAAUUAAGGCAAAAUUGGUAUCGUUGGAAAUUUAAUUCAAUUAUCUACAAUUUGGUGGGUAUAAAUAUGAAGAAAUACCAUAUUAACAUCGAGUUAUAUUCGUUCAAAUAUGACCCUUACGAAAUCAAACCCAAAAACUUGAUGGAUUCAAAAACUCUUAGCUUGUUUUACCUUAAGUGACUCAUAUAAACAUGAUUAACACAUCAUAAGCUAUAUUAUAGUUAGGAUACUUAUUGUAAGUCAUGAACUAAAAUGCUACUCAUAGGACAGGAGGUUUCAUACAUAGGAAAAAUAGUUCGUCUCCUAGCUUAGAAACAUAUGGGAUAUUACAGACGAACAUAGGUAGUAGAGCUCGUGGUGAUGGUCAUGGGGAUACUCAGCCAGUUGGUGGUCAUGUACAAUAUUAUGCUAUACUAUCCAGACCUGAGGCAGAGGCUUCAGACAUUGUGAUCACAGGUAUCUCCCUUAUUUUUUCAGAUAUGUAUCUAUAUUAUUUGAUCUCGAAUCGAAUUUUUCCUAUGUGUCUAUGUAUUUUUCUUUUGGUUUUGAUUCUAUUAGUGAGCCUCUUGCCAUUCCUAGUGGAUCUACCCCUAUAGGUAAUUCUUUAGUGGUAGAUCAGGUGCACUGAUCUUGCGUUAUGACUUUUUCUGGCUGUAAGACUUAGAUAGAUUUAGUUGUGUUAGAUACUUCGAUGUUAUUUUGGGUAUGGAUUGGUUGGCUGCCUAUCAUAUUGUCUUAGAUUAUUUUGCUAAGACUAAGACUUUAGCUUCGCUGGGUAUGCCAACAAUAGCUUGGAAGGGUGUACUUCAUUCGAGACCCAAGAGGGUCAUAUCUUAUAUUUAAGCUCAUCGAUUGGUUGAGAGGGGAUAUGAGCUUAUUUGGCUCAUAAUUGUGAUACUAGUUUUGUUUUACCUUCUUUCUUGGAUUCUGUUCGUGUUAUCUGUGAGUUUACGAAUUUGUUCCUUACGGAUUUUCCUGGUAUGCCUCUGUAUCGUGAUAUUGAUUUUGGCAUUGAUGUUGAGCAGGGCACGAAGCCCAUUUCUAUUCUUCCUUAUAGGAUGGCCCCAACUGAGUUAAAGGAAUUGAAGGGUCAAUUGUAGGAGUUGUUGGAUAAGAGAUUAUCCAACCUAGAGUAUCGCCUUGGGGUUCUCCUGUAUUGUUUGUGUACAAGAAGAAGAAGAAGAAUGGGUCUAUGCGUAUAUAUAUUGAUUAUCAGUAGUUGAACAAGGUGACGAUUAAGAAUAAGUAUCCCCUUCCUUGCAUUGAUGAUUUAUUUGAUCAGUUUCAGGGUGUUGCAGUGUUUUCAAAGAUUGAUUUGAGAUUCAGAUAUCACCAGUUUAGGAUUAGAGCUUCAGAUAUUCCUCGGACAGCUUUUCAAACUUGAUAUGGUUAUUAUGAGUUCUUGGUCAUGUCCUUUGGGUUGACCAAUGCCCCUACUACAUUCAUGUAGUUGAUGAACCGGGUGUUUGACCAUAUCUUAACUCCUUUAUUAUUUAUAUAUAACUAAUAUCUUGGUUUAUUUUAAGAGUGAGGUUGAUCAUGAGGAGCAUUUGCUUAUUGUGCUUCAGAGGUUGAGGGAUGAUAAGUUGUUGGCUAAGUUCUCUAAGUGUGAGUUUUGGUUGGAGUUUGUUUCUUUCUUGGGUCAUGUGGUGACAAAAGAAGGUAUUAUGGUUGAUCCAGCCAAGACUGCUGCAGUUUGCUAUUGGGAUAGACCUACUUUGCCCACUGAGAUUUAGAGUUUAAUUGGCUUAAAAGGUUAUUAUCGGUAUUCUGUUAAGGGUUUUUCAUCCAUUGCAGCUCCAUUGACCAAGUUGACUUAGAAGAAGAUUUCUUUUCAUUAGUCCGAUGCUUGUGAGGCGAGCUUCCAAAAUCUCAAGGAUUUAUUAACUUCAGCUCUUAUCUUGACUUUGCCUAAGGAGGGCGUGGGUUUUACCAUCUUUUAUGAUACUUUAGGUGUUGGGUUAGGUGUUGGGUUGAUGUAGGAGGAUAAGGUAAUCGUGUAUGCAUCUUGUUAGUUAAAAGCCUCAUGGGGGGAAUUAUCCUACCUAUGAUUUGAAGUUGUGCGUAGUUGUUUUUGCUUUGAAGUUGUGGAGGCACUACUUGUAUAGAGUCUGUUGUGAGAUUUUCUCAGAUCAUUGUAGCCUUCAGUACUUUUUCACCCAGCGAGAUCUUAAUAUGAGGCAGCGUUAUUGGCUUGAGUUGCUCAAGGAUUAUGAUUUGACUAUCAUCUAUCAUCCGGGUAAGACCAAUGUGGUUACAGAUGCCUUGAGCCAGAAGUCAACUAGCAUGGGUAGCUUGGCGCAUCUUUUAACCCACACGAGAGGGUUUUAGCCUUAAGAGGUUUAGUCUUUGGCAAACAAGAUAGUUAGGCUUGAUAUUUCUAACACCUGGCAUCUUGAGCUCAUCAAUUUUAUAAUACUGUAUUAUGGUUGAUUCGAGAUAAGGUGUUGAGUAGGGAUGUUAAGGAAGCCUCACUUGAUUCGAAUAAAUUUUUGAGGAUUGGAGGUCGAGUUUGUACUUAGAGUGGGUAACUGGAUUAGGUUGAUCUUGGAGAAGGACCAUUGUUCCAAAUAUUUUAUCCAUCCAAGAGUGACUAAGAUGUACCGUGACUUGAGAUAAAACUAUCGGUAGGGUUGUAUGAGGCGAGAUAUAGAGGAUUUUAUGGCUCGUUGCCUAUGUUGUCAGCAGGUGAAGGCCAAGCAUAUGAAACUUGGUGGUUUGCUUCAGAGAUUACCCAUUCUCGAGUGGAAAUAGAAACGGAUCACUAUGAACUUUGUGACUGGUGUGCCUCACACUUCGCAUAGUUUUGAAAGCAUUUUGGUCAUCGUGGAUAGGUUGACCAAAUCAAUUCAUUUUAUUCCAAUACAGGUUUCCUUCAGUGCCGAGAGGUUGUCCCAUAUUUAUAUUCACGAGAUUUUGCAACAAUUCAACUUCAGUGCGAGUUGGAUGGAAAAUUCAACUUCGACAACGUAUUUGAGACAUUAAUUUUAGAGUGUUAACAUGUUUGGUUGGGUUUUAUGGCUUUUAAAUCUCAUUUCUACCCUCGGUUUGAAAAAUUGUGAUUUUCAGUUUCACGGGUCAACUUGUGAAAAUGACAUUUUUAAAAUUUUGAUAUUACCAUUGAGUCUGAAGCAUCGAAUUUAGUAUGGUUACAUAGUUUGUUUACAUAUAUCAUACUUUGAAUGAAUUUCAAACACCCCGUCAAAGUCCAUAUGGAACCUUAAAAACUGGUGCACCAGGUUAACUGGUGUACAAAGGGUAAAACGCACCUCAGGAGUGUGAUUUAUGCCUUUUGUGUCAGGUUGCCUGGUGCAGUAUAAAAAGGCCCUUUUAAACCCGAUUUUGCUCAUUCUUUUGCCUUGUCUGUUGAAAGUUAAACCGUAAAAUAGUGUGCGAGCUUAAAAGUAAAGCUUAUGGGUGCUUGGGAAGCGAUAUUACCAUUUAUUUCAUGAUUCUUUUAUGGAUUUAAGGUGAGAUUUCAUCUUUUUCUUACUCUAAUUCUUGAUUUCUUGUUUUUAAAAAAUGACAAAAACUUUAUUUCUUAAUUUAAACACCAAUUUCACUCUUUUUCACUUGAAUAAUGUUUCUAAUCCUAUAAUUAAUAGUUUUUCAUCAAUCCCAUCUUCAAACAACUUUGAUUAUUGAUUUUAACACGAAUUUUAAAGAUUUUACCCGAUAAAGUUCAAAAGGGUUUUUCUUCGAUUUGAACUCAUUUUUUACUCGAUUUGACUUGGGUUUUCAGCUGUAGAUUUCUAAAAAUAUAUGGAACAUAUUUUUUAUAAAGUUUUGAUUUUUCCCCUUUUUUAAAAAAUAUAUUUUGGGAGUCUAUUUUAACCUUGAACCAAAAGUAGGCAAUAUGGGUAUCGUUAGCUUUAUUUUGACGCAAAGUGUAAUACCCCGAGAAUCCGAACCUAUAUUAAAGCCAUACUUUGAGCUCAUGAGAAAUUAAUUAUAGUUCUUUGAUAGUUUUACGAGCAGGUUUGAACUAUAUUAAGGCCUCAAAUAACUCCGAGCUACUAGACAAAUCAAAAUAUCCCUUACCGAUUGAGUUUUUGAGAAGAAUGUUGCUAUGGUCAUCUUCAAACAAGUAUAUCUUUUCUUAUAUUGAGAAUUUUCCAGCUCAAGACCUACCAAAUUGUAGUAAAUUGAAUUAGCUUUUCAAUGAUACCAAUUUUACCUAAAUCCGAUACCUGGGUGAGAAGUUAUGGCACUUUUAGUGAAAGGUAGUAGCCCAUCGCGAUUAUGCCACUUCGCGGUGAUGGCCAAAAUCACGUUCGUUCUUUUCCAGUAAAACACUGUGAUGGAGAUGCGUCAUUCCAAGGGGCAUUUUUUCGUUCGUCCUUUUUCAAUGGGGCACCACUAUGUCAUCGCAUCGCGUCAAGGUGCCAAAUCAGGAUUGUCCAUUUUCAGUGGCACAACGCGAUAGCAUCACGUUGUGCCAAAGCCAAAAAUUAGGAUUUAUUAGUUCGCAUUUUAAAUUUCCAGGGACCGUUUGUUUUUUUUUCAUAGCCCCAAAUCCGUCCCAAACACGAAAUUAAAACCCUAAAUGGGCAUUAUGUGCCCUAUUAUUCAUAAUUUCCCCCACCCCUCAUUCCUCCCCAAGAAACUAAUCCUCUCUCAAGAACAAACCCUAGCCCUUUAAGUUUCAAGAAAACUCUCAAGAACCUUCAAGAAUUCCUCAGUCAAAGUAUGUUAAAUGUUCAUCCAUAGGUCCCUUUCACCCAUGGAGUCCAAGAAUCCAAUUUAAAAUUCAAAGUUGUGAUUUUUACAAGUUAUUGAGAUUUUAAUAGUGAUUUUAACCAUGAAUCCCCAUGAAUCUUGAUUCUAUACCAUGUUUACAUGAAAUUAUUUUUGUUAUUAAACCCCACAUGUUUGAAUGAUAUUGCUCGCUGAUUUAAUUCAUAAUUAGUGAUGUUGACGUUGAAAUCAUGUUAUUACUACAAGAUUCAAACUAUUCUCAUGCUUAGCGUAAACUACGAAUAUCAAGUGUUUGAUGAAAUACCUACAAGAACGAUUUUUUAAUAAAUGCUUUCACAUGAUGUACUCAAAGUUUUUGCACUAUUUUACUAUUAUUGCUAUUGAGUCCUAGGGGAUACAAAUACCCAAAAACUUAGUUGUUUACUUUGUCUAAGUAUCUUCGGAAUGGUUUCAGAUAUGUUAUGAGUAUUAUUAGUUCAAUCAGUUAUCAUAAUCAGUUAAAUUUUGAAUAGUUCAGUAUCCCGAAUCAGUUCAGUGAGGAGGAGGAUUUAGCAUCGAGCGGGUGCAGGGGUGGCAGCUUCCCCAUCAGUUAGGCAGAUUUGUUAGUAGCAAUCCCUAUACUCCAAAACUAUGUAGAUAGCAUAGGAUAUGAGGAGUCAUCCAUCAGUUCAGGCUUGACUACCUCUCAGGGGUCACCCCUCAUAUUAGGUUUAACACCUUUAGUCCUUCGGGACGGUAUAUUAGUGGAUCCCACAGCCAGUGUUAGUACCUGUGGCACUGUACUGACACCCUUCACACUAGGUCACAGGUUGGACCUCAAUUUGCUCAUUUUGGGGCAUAUCGGUUAGAUGAUAUCUCCCACAGUCCAGUAAUCAGCUCAGUAAUUCAAUUUUAGUUUUGUUGAUCAUAGCAUACAGAUAUCAAUUAUCUAUUUAUCAGUAUCCAGUAAUUCAAUUUACAAAUUAUAUGUAGAACAUGUUUUAUGCUUGGUCAUGCAUUCUCAGACUUAAUAGAUUCUAUGCAUUCUAUUCAACACUUCAUGCUAUUCAUUUAGUCAGUUAUUAAUUCUGUACAUGAAACCAUGCAUACCAGCCUAACCUUAGUUAGCAUACCAGUACAUUAAAAAGUACUAAUCGCAUACUCAUUUCUUGUGCUAUGAUGUUUAAUAUCGUAGGUUCGGACAUUCAGUUCCCUGAUUGCGCACAGAUUAUCAGCUAUAGCAGUGGUGAGUCCUCAUAUUUUGAGGACAUGGUUUAUUUACCUCAUCUUUCUUUAUCAUUUCAGCAUUUUUUUCUAUUCAAUAGGAGUUAGUUGGGGGUUUAUCCCAUCAGCUCCACAGUCAGUCAAUAGAGGCUUUUCAGACUAGUACAAACAGUUAGUCAGUCUUCAGUUUUUUAUUGUUAUUAUCAUCUGUUUUAUCAAUAUUUUAGGUAUUGUUUUACAGAAAUUAUCAAAACUAUGAUUCAAAACCUUAUGACAUUCCUCAGUUAAAUUCUACAUAUGAUCUUUUGUUAUCAAUUUUACACAGUGCUAAUAGCCGGUACCAGCUCAUGGGCUAGCUUGUGGUCUCUUGUGACCGUAAGCACCAUGUGUUGCCCAGGGUGUACUCUCGGAAAUUUACACAAAGAUUCUAUAUUUCUUGGUUUUAGUUGAUUUUAGGAUCGUUCGUAAAAUGUAAAGUCAUAGGUUCAAAGUGUAGCAGGUCGAUUUCGGCAUUCGAGGUAGGUUAUGGCUUAACUCUUUUAAACUGGCAUAGGUAGUAAAUAUUGGUAUAAAAUGCAUGUUAAGGAUGAGAACUAAUCAUGAAAAAUGGCUAUCUAUAUGUUGUGCUUGUGUGGGGUGCUAUAUGUGAUAUAAUUAUGGAAAUUGAGGAAUUAUGUGAUAUGUGUGACCGUAUGGGUCCUAUGUGAUGUUGAUAGCCUUGAAUACAUGUGAAUAAUUGUAUUGUGUUACUAAAUAUAUAAUGUGAUACUGUUGGUGUAUUGUGAUUAUAUUCAUACUUUAUUGACAUAUGAAACAUGUGGAAAUUCAUGGAUAGUGGAAAUAAUAAGUGAAUAUUGUCUCACAUGGUUGUGAAAAUAUAUCAUUGUGGUUAGUUGUGGAAAUAUAUCAUUGUGGUUGGUUGUAAAAAUACAUCAUAUGAUUGGUUGUGAGCAUUACAUCCUCAUAUCAUACUUAUUCAUGAAAUAUUGGUACUAUCAUGGCAACAUAUAAGAAAUACUGGCAACACCUUUUUAAAACCCUUCCUGUGAAAUAUGUCGGGGAGAAAAUAUUGUAACACCUUAUAAAACCCUUCCUGAGAGAUGUGCCAGGAAGGAGAUAUAGAGAUUUGGAUGUAUGAAUUGUAUAUGGGUUGACGAACCCCCCAUAGAUCCUAUAUCAGGAGGCUUGCAUCCGUAGGUGUAUAUGGAGAUUGUGCGACAACCUCAUGCAUCAUACAUCAUCAUCUUCAUCAUCAUCUUAUACAUUACACUUCUUAUUUGUGUUUAUGUUGUGAUUGAAUUGGCAUACUGACUUGUCAUACAUUUAUUUGUUCUAUCUUCCAUUAAUUGUACCUAACUAUCUUGUAUAUGCAUGUUCUCCCUUGUUUCUAUGUGAUAUAAUGUAUAUUUGUGUUUGAUCUGGUGCUGUCGUUUCUAUUUAUGUGUUAUAUAUAUGUUAGAAAUUUUAGUGCAAGCAGUGUGGGCUAUCGCUGUGAGAUAUUUUUAGAUUGCAGGUGACGUCCUCUUAGUAUGUAUUUUGUAUACAUUAUUUUCUACUUUACUUGGUCGCCCUAUGAUACCUUCUGAGUACAAGUGGAUCGUACACGUCUAGAACAGAUCCAGGUUUUGAUGCACCCCAGCUGCUUGAUUCGGGCGAUAUCUAGAGUUUUUGAGGUAGUGGUUGACGUUUUUGGCAUCCAGAUGGCUUCUAUUACCUUUAUUUAUAGACUAUGUCUUUAUUUUCACUUUAGAGACAGAGUUUCUCUUGUAUUUGGAUAUCUUAUGUAUUUCCUUGGAUUCGAGUUAUACUAUAUACGUUCUUAUACUAUUGACACCUGAUUUUGAAAGUUAUGGCUGCACUAUUAUGUUUUUCUCCGUAUUUUAUUAUGUUGGAAUAUGGGUCUUUGUCCUUUCCUAUGUGGAUAAAUAAAUCCCAAUAUAAACCAACUAAUUUUUACCAUAGGCUCAUUACUAUGAGGGCAUAUAUAUAGAUCUUUUUAGGUCUUAUUUCACUAUCCACAAAAGAGAAUUUCAGCAACUAUAGAGAGAAAACAAGAGCCAUAAAAAGUAAAGAAAAAAGUGGUUUGAUGUUGUGAAAGAUGAGAUUUAAUCUUUGCAUGAUAAUCAUACCUUUGAUUUGGUUAAGCUGCCUAACACAGAAAAGUUUUAAGAAACAGGUAGGUUUUUCGGGUGAAAUAUGAAGAUGGUAACCCAGUUCCACGGUGCAAGGCUAGAUUAGUUGUAAAGGGAUUUAACAAGAAAAAGGGUGUUGAUUUUGAUGAAUAUCCUCUCUGGUUGUAAAGAUGUCAUCCAUUCAUGUGGUUUUAGGCUUAGCUGCAAGUUUAGAUUUAGAGGUUGAGCAAAUGGAUGUUAAAACUAUUUUUAUCCAUAAUAACUUAGAUGAAGAGAUUUAUAUGGAGCAACCCGAAGGUUUUGAAGUCAAGGGAAAAGAGAAUUAUGUUUGCAAAUUGAAGAAGAGCUUGUAUGGUUUGAAACAAACUCCUAGGCAGUGGUACAUGAAGUUUGGUUCCUUUAUGAGUCAGCAGCGCUUCAAGAAGACUACUUCAGACCAUUGUGUUUUUAUGCAAAAAUUCUGUGAUGGUGACUUUAUUAUUGUGUUGCUUUCUGUUGAUGACAUGCUUGUUAUUGGUCAUAAUGCUUACAGGAUUCAAAAGUUGAAGCAAAAGUUGAGUAAGUUUUUUUCUAUGAAAGACUUAGUACCAACAAGGCAGAUUCUUGACAUAUAAAUUUUUCGUGACAGAAAGGCCAAGAAGUUGUAGUUAUCAUAAGAGAGGUACAUUCAAAAAAUACUUCGAAUGUUUAACAUGGACAAGGCUAAGGUUAUCAGUACACCUUUAGCUAUGCACUUCAAAUUUAGCACGAAGUAGUGUCCUUCCAGUGAUAAUGAGAAGAAAGAUAUGAAGAAAGUUCCUUAUGCUUCAGUUGUUGGUAGUUUGAUGUAUGAAAUGCUUUGUACAAUACCAGAUAUUGCUAUGUUGUUGGUAUUGUUAGCCGUUUUCUUUCUAAUCCGGGAAGAUAACAUCGGAAUAUUGUAAAGUGGAUUAUGAGGUAUCUUUGUGGCACUUCUAGUCUGAAUUUGUGUUUUAGUACAAGGAAGCCUAUUCUUUGUGGUUAUACUGAUUCAAACAUGGCUGGUGAUGUUGAUAAUCGCAAGUGUACUUCAAGGUAUUUGGUUACCUUUGCAGGGGGAGUAGUGUCUUGGCAAUUUAGGUUGCAAAAAUGUGUUGCUCUAUCUACUACAGAAGCUGAGCUUAUUAUUAUCGUUGAAGCUUGUAAAGAAUUGCUUCGGAUGAAGAGAUUCUUGGGGGAACUUGGUUGUGCUCAAGAGAGGUAUGUGCUUUAUUGUGACAGUCAAAGUGCCAUACAUCUUGGCAAGAAUUCUACAUUUCAUGGUCGGUCUAAACACAUUGAUGUGAGAUAUCAUUGGAUUUGAGAUGUAUUGGAUUCUAAGUUGCUUGAACUUGAGAAGAUUCAUAUGGAUGAUAAUGGUUCUGACAUGAUAACUAAAGUUUUACCAAGAAAGAAGUUUGAAGAUUGUUGAAAGAUCGUCGGGUGUUGACACCUAAAUUUUGUCCUCCACAUUCCAAAUUAGUUUUUGAAUUUCUCAAUUUUAAAUAGUUUUAAAAUAUUUAUUUUAAGUUAUUUUGAAAUAAAUUUCUACCCUACCUUUUGAAUUUAGGUGAAAUUAAUACAUGUAAUGUUUAAUUAUAAAUGAUUAUGUAAUUUAUCAGUUAAAGAAAAUGCUUCAAAAUUUAUUUAGAGUGAAAAUUUUGAUUAAAUUGCAACUACUUUACUUUUUUCAAGAUUUGAUUGAAAAUAAGAAAUUAAUGACAUAAUUAGUUUCUUAUUUUUUAUUUUAAAAAAAAAACAAAAUAAUUGUGCUUUUAUUGAAUAUUUAUUUUAAAAUUAUUAAAUUUGAGAAUUUGUUAAAUUAAUUAAAAGUUUAUUUCGUCUCAAUUUUGUCCAAUUAAUUCAAUUGUGGUCAUUUUUAUUAAUAUAAAACAAUUAUAAUUUUUAAUUGCACUCCCUAUUUGUUAAUCUAAUCUUAUAACCUAAACCCUUUAAAAUUGGGCCAGCAGCACACAUUUAGUAACCCAACUCAAGCCUAACCAGCCCACUUCAGCUGACCCGGCCGACAUUCUUAUUUUCCCUUCUUCUACGCGUACAACAGCAGCACAGCCUCAUCAAUUAACAUCAGAUGUUAUCAACAACAAUACAACCCUUUACAAUUUCAACCAAAGAACAACAAUUUCAACGACGGCAAUACAACAACAGGCAGUCCGACCCAAUAACCCUCAGCAAACAACGGGUCCAGCCCAUCAAUGACCCGAACCACGACAAAAACCAGUAUAGCAAUAUCAACGACAACAGCGACCCCACACCAACGAAUAAGUCAACAAUAUCAGCUAUUAAUCCGAAUUUUCCUCAAAACCGUUCAAUUUCUUAUGCAUGCAGAUGGGCACGAUUGAUUCAUGUCGAAUUUCAAAUGUUUCAUUCUCAAUUUCUUAUUCGUUUCCCUCCAAAACACUAUUCCGAAAAUCCUCUAUAAAUACCUGUUGAGAGACAGAGGAUUAGAGGAGGAUUCUUUGGGGAAAAAUUGAGGAUUCGGGAGGAGCAUUCCUCUAAUCCUACGUAACAGGAGAAAUUCCUUUCAAACGUUCGAUCCCAACAAAAGUUAAUCUCCGAUGAAUUCGUUUAAACGCCGGUGAAUUGGCAAUGGAUUUCGGCAGUGGUGAAAUUCUUGCAAUUUAAGCUCGCUUGUCCCGGCUAGCUGCCCGGAGAAAGGUAAACACCUCCCCUCUUCUAGUUUUCAUGUGUCAUAGCAAUUUUCUUUAUUAGAGUAUAAAUUUUUGUUAGUAUAGUCAUGGAUGCUGGGAUUAUGUGUUGUAGAAGGUUUUCCAAAAGCCAUAGGUUUUGUGUUUGAUUUCCUGGGUUGAUAUGUGCUGGGAUUCUUUGUUUCGUCUUGAUAAUGUUUCCGUUUAGUGUUAAUCUGUAGUCCUAUCUAGUUUGAAUGAUUGUUUUAUUUUAGUUUGAUUCAUCGUUUUCCUUCUAAUUGGAAUAUCCAUGUGUUGAAAGUCGAGGCCCUAAGGAUGUGUUAAGCAAACUCUUUGAAAUUGCCUCUCUUUUGAAUUAAUUCUUCCAAAGAACAAAAGUCCCUCUUGAAGAUAUUUGAGAAAUUAAUGGUAUGGUUGGGUUUAUUUUUCUGUAAGUCAUGGCCUAAGUUACUUACGAAUUCGUUGUGUUUUAAAACGAAGUCUUCUGUUUUUAUCAUGUCAUCUAAUUUAGUUUCUAUUAGCUGUUGAGAUAAAGCAAUUAGUUUGGGAAAGUCAUGAGGGAUUCGCCUCUUCAAACAUUUUGUUCUAUUUUUAGAAUCAUUUGAUCAUAUAAUUAUUUAAGAUGCAAAAAGAAAGUAGUUACCAUGAUCAUGUUUCUUUUUAGUAUGUGACAAAUAAAAGUUUAUAUGAGUGUACAUACCCUUGGACUUGAGUCUCUCUAUUGUCUUUGUAUGAUUGCAAAAUUCCAAAGCAACUCCAAUCCAUUGCUGAAAUAUUCAAACUUUCUUAACGUUAUGCCACCUAAUAAUUAAAAAAAAAAAAAAAAGGAAAAGGAAAGAGAAACAUAAAACUAAAUACUAGCCAAAUGAGAAAAACUUGCAAACUUAGAGAAUACUAUAUAGUAGUACCUGAUUUCUUGGCAUGGUUGAAAAUCGAAAGCCAUUAUUUUGAAGAGAGUUGAAAUAAAAGCUAUACUUGGUAUAGCUAUAUACAACUUUAUAGUUGGAUACAGAUACUGCUCCAUCCGUUCUAAAAUAAUUGAAUUAUUGGAGUAUUUUUAGUGUUCAAAAUAAUUGAAUUGUUCAUAGAUAGAUAUUGAAUUAUUUUUUUUUCAAUUUUAUCCUACAUUAAUUAAAUUUCCAAGGAUGAGUUCCAACGAUCAUUACUAAUGUUUUAAAGUUUGAAAAGGGCAAAAAAUAAAAAAGUGACCAAUUUAUUAUUAUUAUUAUUAUUUUUUCCUUAAAAUGUAUAUCAUAUUCCAAUAAUUCAAUUAUUUUCGAAACGAAGGAUGAAUGACUGGUUUUGCCCAAAGACGACCCAAAUAAUUUUUUAGUACUUACUAUUUAAUUUUAACAUAUAUAUGUGUGUGUAUGUGUGUUUUCUGGUUGUUUACUCUUCUCUGCAUUCACUGGAAUAUUUCUUCAACAUGUGAGAGUUGGCUUUCCAAUUUUUCUUUUAAUCUUAAUUUAUAUUAAUUUAUAUUGGAGACGAG
rnacentral:lncRNA from 1 species